rnacentral:tmRNA from 1 species
GGGGGUGAAAUGGUCUCGACUUGAGAAGUUAGUGGAUAAGUGGCAUGCCGAGGAAGCCUGGUUGGCCUCGUUAAUCAUCUGGGCACACAAUCAAACGGCGAAAACGAUCGUUUGCUAGCUUCAGCGGAAUCAAUCGUAGAGGGAAUUUUCUCAUCUACACCUGAAUUCGCUGGACAACCAGCCUAAACCCCAAAACGGUUUAGCCCUUUUAUACAUCAUGCCUGUGGAUGUAUAUUAGGCCCUUUACAGGUGUAGUCGUCCCGCAGGCCCGGGCGGGGGGAUGAAAUUCAGGGAUAGUCACGCAAAGGUUUGUUUGUUUUAACGUGUGUGAUGAAAAGAAAAAUGAACUAAGCAUGUAGAGGCUUAUGCACGGCUCUUAAAGGACGGCGGUUCGAUUCCGCCCACCUCCACCA